UACGGAGGGUGCAAGCGUUAUCCGGAUUCACUGGGUUUAAAGGGUGCGUAGGCGGGUAUGUAAGUCCGUGGUGAAAUCUCCGAGCUUAACUCGGAAACUGCCAUGGGUACUGCGUAUCUUUACUGUUUUGGAGGUGAGCGGAAUAUGUCAUGUAGCGGUGAAAUGCUUAGAUAUGACAUAGAACACCACUUGCGAAGGCGGCUCACUACACAAAUAUUGACGCUGUGGCACGAAAGCGUGGGGAUCAAACA
rnacentral:rRNA from 1 species